rnacentral:rRNA from 1 species
AUUGAACGCUGGCGGCAUGCCUUACACAUGCAAGUCGAACGGCAGCACGGACUUCGGUCUGGUGGCGAGUGGCGAACGGGUGAGUAAUGCAUCGGAACGUGCCAUUGAGUGGGGGAUAACGUAGCGAAAGUUGCGCUAAUACCGCAUAUUCUGUGAGCAGGAAAGCAGGGGACCGCAAGGCCUUGCGCUCUUUGAGCGGCCGAUGUCAGAUUAGCUAGUUGGUGAGGUAAAGGCUUACCAAGGCGACGAUCUGUAGCGGGUCUGAGAGGAUGAUCCGCUACACUGGAACUGAGACACGGUCCAGACUCCUACGGGAGGCAGCAGUGGGGAAUAUUGGACAAUGGGCGGCAAGCCUGAUCCAGCCAUGCCGCGUGAGUGAUGACGGCCUAGGGUUGUAAAGCUCUUUCGCCAGGGACGAUAAAUGACGGUACCUGGAUAAGAAGACCCCGGCUAACUUCGUGCCAGCAGCCGCGGUAAU